rnacentral:rRNA from 1 species
GAUGAACGCUGACAGAAUGCCUAAUACAUGCAAGUCAACCGGAACGACGGUGUGCGUGGCGGACGGGCGAGUAACGCGGACAGAACUUGCCUCACAGAUAGAGCCAACAUUUGGAAACGGAUGCUAAUAGCUGAUAGUAUGAUUAUAUGGCAUAGUAUAAUUAUGACAGCGAUAUGCGCUGUGAGAGGGCUUUGCGUCCCAUUAGCGAGUUGGCGAGGUAACGGCUCCCAAAGGCGAUGAUGGGUAGCCGGCCUGAGAGGGUGAUCGGCCCCAAGGGGACGGAGACACGGCCCUUACGCCUACGUGCGGCAUCAGUGGGGACUAUUGGAAACUGGACCAAGAGUCUGAUCCAGCACUUCUGUGUGCAAGAUGCAGUUUUUCGGAAUGUAAAGUGCUGUCAGUUGGGAAGAAAAAAAUGACGGUACCAACAGAAGAAGUGACGGCUAAAUACGUG